rnacentral:lncRNA from 1 species
UGAAAAUUAUUUUCAACUAAAAAUAAUUUAUUUUAUUUUCGAGAAACAACGGCGUUGUUUUCGUUACUAGGCAGUUUUACUUGUUCAACUUUUCGACUGGUUUGGUUGUAUUAUUGAUCCGUUAAUUAGGGUACCAGCUAUGCGACAUGUACAUCGUAUAGCCGUAUAAAAGCGAAAAUCUCGUGCUAUCUGCUCAGUUAACUCGUUUAAACUUGACAGCCAACACAAACUUUGGUCAAUGGAAAAGUUUUUGUAUCGUUAUUAUCGGAAUAAGAAUUUUGUCGAGGAGAAGACUAACACGUUCUAAUAAUGCCACGCGGACGUAGCAGGAGAGCACCGGCAGGGCGUAGGCAGACCCAAGUAAUGGACAACGUUCGCAACCGGCAGAAACCUAGGUUGUUUGAGGCUCGGCAAUGUCAUGAAGGUGCAUUACAACCACAGGGCUAUUCAAGGAGGAAUAAUCGUCAUCAGGCGAAUAAUGCUCACAAUCGCGAGGAACCUCAGCUACCUGAGGUCCAGGCAGGCAUUACCGCCAGAGGACCCUCCACAAAGGAAGGACCAGCCAGGUCAGCCAGACGUCAACCCAAGGACGGAUAGGGGUCAAAAGAGGGUUGUUGAAUUGCUGGACGAACGAUUAGUUUAGAAUGCCGGACCGAUUAUAAACGUGGUUAUGGAAAGGGUCCUGUAUCAACAGAAAAUACCUGAAGUACGAAUCUGUUAACGACAUGAACAUUGUAAGUCGUUAAUAAAUCAAGGAACAUCCUCUAGUGAACAUCAGCUAGCCGUGUAUGGAGAACAUUUUCAACAUAGUUUAUUCCACCGUGGGUGCAGUAAUGCAGGUAUUCGAUAAGUAUGUGAUCAAUAAGACGGACAUUUCCUACAUACUCAUCUGAUAAACUGUUUUGUGAUACGGGCCUUUUUAUUCCAAGAACUGAUAUAGAGCUGAUUAAUUAAUACGAAGUUUAACUGUGGAUUAUAAACAGAUGGACAGUUUUGUAUUUAUUGUACGAAUUUGCGUUAUGUGCUUUUGUGAUUUAAAUUUCGAAGAUAUGUGUCUUUAAUCAUUUCAAGGAUGAUGUUUCUAUCAGAAUCUAAAACAAUUUAUUCAAUCACGUUUAUUUCUUUUAUUUAUUUAUUUUCCUUUCUUUAUAAUGUCGCUCUUGUCACGGAAAAAUUCUAAUUGUGCAUACCGAGGGGCGAUCAGGCGCGUCAGGUUAUUGCUGUAAAGCUAGGCUAAAUGCCAUAUCCCGUCCUAAGCACCGUACUUUGGCGUAUUGCUUUCAAAUCAAGUUCGUGGCUAGGUGGCUCGGGUUGAAUAGGUUUUGCCCUAGUGUUAGGCGAAAUCUAGUUGGUAUUGCUGGUAUUGCUUUAUGUAUUGCGUUCUCAACCCUUUGCAUGCAACUAUGUGCUUACCUUCAUGCAGUGGUCCGCAUGAUAGUUGCCGCCCGUUUGCAGUAACCUGCGGACGGUCGGUCCCUGUCGUGUGACACCACUGGCUCCGUCGUUGCAAUGCACAGCCAUCCUCUUUUGGUGUACUUGUGUACAUCUGCCACGUUACUCGGUGCUUCACUGUUAAACAGUAACCCUUUGCAUGCAACUGUGCUUACCUUCAUGCAGUGGUCCGCACGAUAGUUGUCGGCCGUUUGCAGCCACCUGUGGGCGGUCGGUCCCUGUCGUGUGACACCACUGGCUCCGUCGUUGCAAGGCACAUCCAUCCUCUUUUGGUGUACUACCCUUUGCAUGCAACUAUGUGCUUACCUUCACGCAGGGGUCCGCAUGUUAGUUGCCGACCGUUUACAGCUACCUGCGGGCGGUCGGUCCCUGACAUGUGGCACCACUGGCUCCGUCGUUGCAAUGCACAGCCAUCGGUUCUGGCGUACUUCAGUUCUACCGUAUCGUUCAGUGGUGUUAGUGUCAGUUCGAAGUUGUUUGGUAUCACUGUUAAUUAUAGCCCUAUAGUUGUGUUGUAUUGCUUUGACGCGCCUGGUCUCCUUUCGGUUGAACAAUUCUACUUUCUUUUUUCGAGCGGCCAACAAAACCCAAUCUUAGAUACUGCUG